CCUACGGGUGGCUGCAGUGAGGAAUAUUGGUCAAUGGACGGGAGUCUGAACCAGCCAAGUAGCGUGAAGGAUGACUGCCCUAUGGGUUGUAAACUUCUUUUAUACGGGAAUAAAAUGUUUUACGUGUAGGAUUUUGUAUGUACCAUAUGAAUAAGGACCGGCUAAUUCCGUGCCAGCAGCCGCGGUAAUACGGAGGGUCCGAGCGUUAUCCGGAUUUAUUGGGUUUAAAGGGAGCGUAGGUGGAUUGUUAAGUCAGUUGUGAAAGUUUGCGGCUCAACCGGAAAAUUGCAGUUGAAACUGGCAGGCUUGAGUACGGUAGAGGUGGGCGGAAUUCGUGGUGUAGCGGUGAAAUGCUUAGAUAUCACGAAGAACGCCGAUUGCGAAGGCAGCUCACUGGACUGCAACUGACGCUGAGGCUCGAAAGUGUGGGUAUCGAACAGGAUUAGAUACCCUAGUAGUC
rnacentral:rRNA from 1 species